GAUGAACGCUGGCGGCGUGCCUAAUACAUGCAAGUCGAGCGAACAGACGAGGAGCUUGCUCCUCUGACGUUAGCGGCGGACGGGUGAGUAACACGUGGAUAACCUACCUAUAAGACUGGGAUAACUUCGGGAAACCGGAGCUAAUACCGGAUAAUAUAUUGAACCGCAUGGUUCAAUAGUGAAAGACGGUUUUGCUGUCACUUAUAGAUGGAUCCGCGCCGCAUUAGCUAGUUGGUAAGGUAACGGCUUACCAAGGCAACGAUGCGUAGCCGACCUGAGAGGGUGAUCGGCCACACUGGAACUGAGACACGGUCCAGACUCCUACGGGAGGGAGCAGUAGGGAAUCUUCCGCAAUGGGCGAAAGCAUGACGGAGCAACGCCGCGUGAGUGAUGAAGGUCUUCGGAUCGUAAAACUCUGUUAUUAGGGAAGAACAAAUGUGUAAGUAACUAUGCACGUCUUGACGGUAACUAAUCAGAAAGCCACGGCUAACUACGUG
rnacentral:rRNA from 1 species